GGUGUUGAUGACGCCGGGGGUACACCUGUUCCCAUUCCGAACACAGAAGUUAAGCCCGGUGGUGCCGAAAAUACUUGGCUGGUGACGGCCCGGGAAAAUAGGAAAAU
rnacentral:rRNA from 1 species